rnacentral:rRNA from 1 species
AGAGUUUGAUCCUGGCUCAGGAUGAACGCUGGCGGCGUGCUUAACACAUGCAAGUCGAACGAAACACUUUAUUUGAUUUCCUCCGGGAAUGAUUAUUGUGUGUUUGUAGUGGCGGACGGGUGAGUAACGCGUGGGUAACCUGCCUUGUACAGGGGGAUAACAGUGAGAACGACUGCUAAUACCGCAUAAGCGCACAGCAUCGCAUGAUUCAGUGUGAAAAACUCCGGUGGUAUAAGAUGGACCCGCGUUGGAUUAGCUAGUUGGUGAGGUAACGGCCCACCAAGGCGACGAUCCAUAGCCGACCUGAGAGGGUGACCGGCCACAUUGGGACUGAGACACGGCCCAAACUCCUACGGGAGGCAGCAGUGGGGAAUAUUGCACAAUGGGGGAAAGCCUGAUGCAGCGACGCCGCGUGAGCGAAGAAGUAUUUCGGUAUGUAAAGCUCUAUCAGCAGGGAAGAUAAUGACGGUACCUGACUAAGAAGCACCGGCUAAAUACGUGCCAGCAGCCGCGGUAAUACGUAUGGUGCAAGCGUUAUCCGGAUUUACUGGGUGUAAAGGGAGCGUAGGCGGACUGUCAAGUCAGUUGUGAAAUACCGGGGCUUAACCCCGGGGCUGCGAUUGAAACUGACAUCCUUGAGUAUCGGAGAGGUAAGCGGAAUUCCUAGUGUAGCGGUGAAAUGCGUAGAUAUUAGGAGGAACACCAGUGGCGAAGGCGGCUUUCUGGACGACAACUGACGUUGAGGCUCGAAAGUGUGGGGAGCAAAAGGGAUUAGAUACCCUGGUAGUCCACGCCGUAAACCCUCAUAGGGAGGUGUCAGAGAGCAGAUCUUUUGGGUGCCGCCGCAAACGCAUUAUGUUUUCCAUGUGGAGAGUAUGUUCGCGAGAAUGAAUCUCAAAAGAAUUGGGGGGGGCGCGCACAAGCAGUGGCGUAUGUGGUUUUUUUAGAAGCAACGAGGAGCACUUUCAAUUGGUUUGAUAUCUCUGGCAUGGAGUAGACGUUCCUGAGCGCUUUCGGGAAUCAGGUCACAGGGGGCGCAGGGUUGUUGUCAGCUUGUGUUGUGAGAUGGGGGGUUAUGUCCCGCAGCGAGCGCCCCCCAUCUUGUCUGUUCCCCUCAUUAAGGUGGGCACUCUGGGGAGACUGCCGGGGACAAAUUGGAGGAAGGUGGGGAUGACGUCAAAUCAUCAUGCCCCUUAUGCUCAGGGCUACACACGUGCUACAAUGGCGGAUACCAAAGGGCGGGGAACCCGUGGGGUGGAGAGAUUCACAAAAUUAGGUCUCAGUUCGGAUUGCAGUCUGCAACUCGCCUGCAUGAAGUUGGAAUUGCUAGUAAUCGUGGAUCAGAAUGCCGCGGUGAAUACGUUCCCGGGCCUUGCACUCACCGCCCGUCA